UUAUGAUGGAUGAUGUGGAUGAGUUCUCUGCUGCUCCGGUGAUUGCUUGGCUAAUGUACACGAGAGAAACUUUGCGUGAGUUACACUAUAAUGUCAGGACUACACCAAACAUUAAUAUUCUUGAGAUAUGUGGUCGCCAGAGACUGGAAGUAUUGGGUCUGGCACACAAUACGAUUACGGGUGUUGAACCUAGUUACCAAAAAUUUCCUUGCUUGAGGUCUCUUUCACUGAGCUAUGUCAGUGUAUCAGCGUUGGACCUCAGUAUUUUUCUCACAGCCUGCCCGAAAGUUGAGGUCUUGAGCCUUAUAAGUCUGGAUAUUGUUAUGUCUGAUCCGCAUGCCUCAAUGGAGCUGAG
rnacentral:misc_RNA from 1 species